rnacentral:lncRNA from 1 species
CAUCAAUGGUGGCAAGAACUAAGAAGGUGGCAUCAAUGGUGGCAAGAACCACGAACUGCAAUUUGAAAAAAGAUCCUAGCUAAUCCAGAUCAACAUCUGCCAGCCACAUUGCUAAAUGAUUCUACUUUCUACAAUUGAAGUUCUUGGCAAGACUCGGCUACCACAUUCUGCACCUCUGCCAGGAACUACUUGUGAGCCUCUACCAAGAAGAUCUUCAAUCAAAUCUCUCAAAGGACCAUCUCGUGAACCUCUGCCAUAACCAGGGCUGACUUUUCGACCUCUGCUAGGACCAUCCUGGGACCUUCUUUCAGGACCGCCUCAAGAACCUCUUUCAGGACCAUCCCACGAACCUUUUCCAACACAUUGUCAACCUUUGCCUGACCCACUUCUUGGAAACUCUCUUUAAAAAAGCUCUACUUUAAAAACUAACUCCAAGAAUAAUUUCUAGCUCAAAUAACUCCUACAUCCAAAAGCUAACUCUACUCCAAAAUCAAACUUCUUCAGUGCUUCAGCUGCAUCACAGCAUGCACAUAUUAGAGCACAUUCUUUAGAAAUAUAAGCCUGCCAAAUGAAGACUUCCAAUUGCUAUGUGAAGGUUUCUGAAAAUGAGAAGGAAGCUU